ACUCAGAAUACGGGCCGUGACUUUGCGUUCAAGGACGUUACCGACCUGUUGCCUUAUGUUGGCAAAAGGGGGAAACCAGAAAGAAGAAAUGCUGCGGCAGCAGGGGCAUGCUUUGACUGGCCUGACCAUAAAGGAAUUGGUGUCUGUAGCUGGUGACUCGCCCCUUCUCUGGCCUCAUCAAGAGUCGAGCCUCUGCCCACCAGCCAACCUUGGCCCUAGAACUUCCUGGUAGCAGCAGGGUGAAGGGGUUGGCUGAGGAGGAGAUGAAGGGCCUUGCAGGCAGAGGCCCCAAGAGGCUUGGCUUCCUGACACCCAGGAUCACACGGGAGACACCUCUGGAUGGGCUUGGAGUGGUCCUGGAGGCCCAGGUGUGCUACUGACAGGUGUUCCAGCAUGGGCAGGAGCAGCCCAGAGGGGAGCCAGGAGAGACCACGGCCCUCACCACCCACCCCCAGUCCCACAUCUGCUGUGACUGGUUGCUCUGGGCCCAAGUACUCAGAGAUCGUGGGACCAAAAACCCACAGCAGUGGGGUCAGCCCCAGGCCCGGAGUGGCCCAAUGCCACCGCAUCUGCCCCACUCAACUGCCCAGCUGGAGUCUGGGUCCUGGGGGAAUUACUCCUCCUGGCUCACCCCAGGGACUGGGGACUGAGGCUGGACCAAGGCUCCCACAUGCCCCCAGCAGUUUCUCAUGGACAGGGCCUGACGGCUUCCUUCCUUGUGCCAAGUCUCCUGCGAGUCCCUAUUCCUGGUGACCCCUCCUCCAUUCCAACCCUGUCCACCCAGGACCACUUGUGGGAGCCUGCCAGCCUGCUGGCUCCAUGCAUAGAUCUCCCAGGACAGCCUCAGAGAAAGCAGAGCAACAGGGGUUGUAAAAGCUGGGAGGAGGACCAGGGGCCUUCCUGGGGAUGAUACACAGAUGGGCUCCUUUCAAGCCCAGGUCUCACCUGGGUGAGGCCCUCUGGGUGAGUGGAUCCCCAGCUGCAUCCUCUUCCUGGGCCAGCUGGGGAGCAGGAAGGCCUGAGAAGGCUUGAGAUGAGGGAGGCUGCUCCCUGAACGUGUGCUUGUGUCCCACAGGCAGAAAUGUGUGUCAGAGCCUCCAGGGCCCCUGGCCUCACAGCCCUGCUGCCCUGCUGAGAAGCUCCACCCCAUCUGGAGGCUCUGUGGCUCUUCCUUUGGCUGUCUCUGCCCUCAGACAAUGGCUAGGGAGGGGCCAGGGACUGGUCCUUACCUGUGUCCCUGCCACUGCUUUUCUUGCCAUUUUGGCCUUGAGUAGUGAGCUGCUUCUGCUUUCCCACCCCUCCCCAACCGCACCGGGCCCUGGCUGCUCGGCGGGUUUUCAGUGCACUUUAUUUAUUUGCAGUCUGUUUUCCAGGCCGCGGAACUUCUACAAAAUCAGGGACACCAACCUGAAUGACAUGGCUUUCAAUUUUCCGCGUGUGUUAACUCUGUACUGGUCAGAGAAUGUUCUUCUUUCUGGUGUCAAAUCUCAU